UCCCCAUAAAAAGAUUGGAUAACCCUCACCCACAGCGCCUCCUUCUCCACCAAGUACCUCCAAAGCCAUUUGAAAACCAAGACCUUGUUAAACCAUUCAAUAUUUCGAAAUCCCAAGCCCCCUUUUAUCUUAUCGACACACAGAUCUUUCCAUCUGAACCACGCAAUUGAUCUAGACUCACCACACCCUCCCCACAAUUGAUCUUCCUUCUUUCUCCUUUAUUCUUAGUUCAUCCAAAUUUGAACAGAUUUUGCAAAGGAGUUUCUCCGCCUGAUAUUCUGACCGGAGUUCCAAUUUAAAUAAUUGGUAAGAGUACUACAGAAGUGAAGUAUGAUUGGGGCUCUGUUUGGAUUGUUUUGAUUCUAUUGGGUUUUCGGUGGUGGUUAAGGGUAACAAUUCUUGUUAGUUAUGCAAUGUUCAGUGCUGAAGGUUUGAUUAUUUGUUUAUUUUAAGUCAAAUUCUUACACAUUUCUUGGUUCAUCAGUUAGGACUAUAUAGUUGAAAUUUAUGUCAAAUCUCAACCGCAUAAUAUAAGGAAAAGUUUCUUUUA